UACAGAGGUCUCAAGCGUUGUUCGGAUUCAUUGGGCGUAAAGGGUGCGUAGGUGGCGGGGUUAGUCAGGUGUGAAAUCUCGGAGCUCAACUCCGAAACUGCACUUGAUACUGCCUUGCUAGAGUGCUGGAGAGGAGAUUGGAAUUUACGGUGUAGCAGUGAAAUGCGUAGAUAUCGUAAGGAAGACCAGUGGCGAAGGCGAAUCUCUGGACAGUUACUGACACUGAGGCACGAAGGCCAGGGGAGCAAACGGG
rnacentral:rRNA from 1 species